GGAGGACUGACAGAUGAACGGAUGACCUGCUUGCUGGGCUUCCCAUUACUUAUUCUUGAGACAUAAGGACCACUGACUGGUGAGGGAAUUGCCCUAUGAUGGAUGAGCCUGCCUCAAGCUGCCAUAAGCUGGGAGGACCGACGGUUGACUGACUCUGCCUGCUUGGUUGGCCAUCACCGAUUCUUGAGAAGAUGAGGACCGCCAAGCUUGGAUGAGACUGGAAAAUUACGAAGCUGCUCUAUCUGGACAAGGGU